UCCUCACUUGUCCGCUAUUUGACCCUCCUCAGAUGAGAACAAUGCUGAAACUGACCACGUGCGAUUGAAACUGUGUUAAGCUUCAAGAUCAAAGAACAAGGACAAGAAUAAAGACUUCAAGGACAGCCA